GGCAGGUCAGCAUACUGCCGUGAAUACGUUCCCAGGCCUGUACACACCGCCCGUCACACCAUGAGAGUUGGGGAGUACCCGAAGCCUGUGAGCCAACUUUUUAAGAGGCAGCAGUCGAAGGUAGAAUCAAUGAUUGGGGUGAAGUCGUAACAAGGUAGC
rnacentral:rRNA from 1 species